GCCGGGCGUGGUGGUGCAUGCCUGUAGUCCCAGUUACUUGGGAGGCUGAGGCAGGAGAAUCGCUUGAACUCAGGAGGUGGAGGUUGCAGUGAGCCAAGAUCACCCCAUUGUACUCCAGCCUGGGCAACAGAGCGAGACUCUGUCUCAA
rnacentral:SRP_RNA from 1 species